rnacentral:misc_RNA from 1 species
AUAAAAGAAAGGCUUUAGAGCCCUCUUAAACGCUAGUGCUUGCCUAAAAAACAGGCCUAGUAAACCCCUUGUGUGAACUGUUUAUUGUCUCUGGUGGGACCUUUUCAUUAAGCCCACCAGUCUAUUUGUUAACCCCUGUUUUUAAAAACGUCUUGUCAAAUAUAAAAAUUUGAAA